CACUCUUGGAAGAAAGUCAAAUCGCAGCCUACACGACGGAGGAUGUUUGAGAGAUGUUUAUGAUAUCAUAAAAUAGUUCCGCAAAUGGAAGACCGCUAUUUAUCCAAACUGUCACCUGCUGAAGAUUAUGGAGCUGGUGCAUAUCUGCUAGUUAUUGCUGUCCUGUCUGUCCUGGGAAAUGUAGCCGUCCUUGUCACUGCUUUAAAGAGAUCCUCCCGCCUCAAGCCACCAGAGCUGCUGAGCGUGAAUUUAGCUGUGACUGAUCUUGGCAUGACAAUCAGCAUGUAUCCACUCUCCAUAGCCUCUGCCUGGAACCAUCGCUGGCUGGGAGGAGAUGGCUCCUGUAUUUAUUAUGGAUUAAUGGGAUUCUUCUUUGGAGUUGCCAGCAUACUAACUUUAACUAUGAUGGCUAUAACUCGAUUUAUAGUCACAACGAAUUUGCAAGUUCCUGGUGAGAAGAUCAGCAAGAAGAACGUGUCUAUUAUGAUUCUUUUCACCUGGCUCUAUGCUUUGAUGUGGGCAGUCUUUCCGUUACUUGGCUGGGGAAAGUAUGGUCCUGAACCAUUUGGGAUAUCUUGUACUAUCGCCUGGGGUGAAUUUAAAGUCAACGGAUCAACAUUUAUUGUCUGUAUUUUCACACUCUGCACAGUAGUACCAGCUCUGACCAUCAUCAUAUGCUACUUUGGAAUAGCAUGGAAAAUCCAUAAAGCAUACAAGUCAAUGGGGAACAGCAACCAAAUGCCCAGUGCAAUGAAAGUAGAAUGGAGGCUGACCGGUAUAGCGGUUCUCGUCAGUGUUGGCUUCAUCGGCUGUUGGGCUCCCUAUGCUGCAGUCAGCCUCUGGUCAAUGUUCAGGUCCAGUGACUCAAUACCACCUCUAGUGAGCCUGCUGCCCUGUUUGUUUGCAAAGUCCGCCACAGCAUACAACCCGUUCAUCUACUACAUUUUCAGCAAAUCGUUCAGGAAAGAAAUUAAACUGCUAACCUGCUUCUGUGGAAAGCCGGAUGAUUUGCUCAACACAGUCAACAUGGCAGAAAACCCAGUGAAUGUGACUUGUGAUGAUAAAAGAAAACAAGAAACCACACUGCCAUUGCAGUAAAUAAGAUUCCAACCAUCAAUAAUCAAAUCUAGACAAAGCUGCUCUUAGGGCUGUGAAUCAAGCACCUUGUACCUUCUACACUACAUCUAUCAAUCAAUCUACAUUGCAUUAACUUUCAUACAGUGGCCAUUCAUGGACAGGGUACUUUAGAACCAGUGCAAACUUAAAAGGUAGCAGUUAAAAUGCUGCUUCUGAAACUACAGUAUUGCCUAUUUUGCCAUCUGCACCGGGCAAAGCGUAUGAAGCUGCCGCUCUCUAUCAGACUGGAAAGGAGGCGGAUGAAAAGCCUCAAGCUCUACCGUCUGGUUAAUGUGGAAUGCCGAAGUGUGACUUUCACCUUGGCUACUGCAAGAAUUAAGCAGGCUUUUGCAACCGAAAAGGCUUGCAUCUCACUCACUCGCGUCGCAAAUGUAACAGCAAGUAAGAAAGCUGCUUUCAUUGAUACAUAUUUCAGGUCUGCUGAAUGUAAGGGCUCAAAUGGAGACUUCAUAAGCACUUCCAGCACCACAUUAAGGACAAUGUCCUUCAGAGGUGGCUGAAGCCGCCGAGGACCGUUUAAAAAUUGCCGCGCCAGAAAAUAAGCUCUUGGGGAGACUGAAUCACCUUAAUAUGACAAGCCGAAAUGGCUGCCAAAUAGACCUUUAAAAGUAGAGGGGGAUUUCCCCUAAUGAAAUAGGUCCUGUAAAAAUUGAAGUGUAACUACUAUGGGACAGCGUGUAGGGUCUAACCCCUUGGGCAGACACCACAUUUGAAAAACGGUCCAUUUGUACCCAUACUGGGAACGUGUGGAUUGCGCUCUGGCAUUCUGUAGAGUGUUAAUGACUCUAUUAGACAGCCCCAGAAGGCUCAAAUGGCGCCGCUCAGGGGCCAGACCCAGAGCUGUAGGCUCGAUGGGUCAGAAUGCCAAUGUCCCCCGUGUUUGACUGAGUAGGUUGCGGCGUUUUGGCAGACUCCAUGGCUGACCUUUCAGGAGCUGUAUCAGAGUUGAAAACCUGGAAAUGGGCGUCUUUUAAAUCCACCAUAGUGAACCAAUCGCCUGGCCUUAUUGACUGCAACAGAUGCUGCAUGGUUAACAUUUUGAACCCCCAUCAACUCAGAUAUGGAUCGACCUGUCUGAGAUCGAGGAUUGGUCUGAGGCUACCAUCCCAUUUGGACACCAGGAAGUACCUGGAGUAAAGUGAAGAGGAUGAACUGUGCAAAUAGCCCGUUUCUGCAGCAAGGCUGUCACCUCUUGAGACAACACCAAUGCGUCUCUGUGAAAGAGACUUUAAUAAACAGUACUGGUAAGCCACCAAGAUGCUGUUAUAAUUUCCCAGCCGCGCAGCAAAGGCACCAGCUGAAUAAGCCUUUUUAAGCAUAAGCUCCGAAACCCGGCACUGUUUAUUUGAGUAGAUAGCGUCCUUGCUUAAAAACGCUAGCUUAGGGGCGUGCACCAAUGAUGUGAUAGCGGCAUCUACUGGUGUAAAAUCAGCCAAGCCAAGUUGAUCUGCUUCAUGCAGACUGUAAAGCGCUCCCAAGGAACGUGAAUCAGCAGGCGCUGUAGCCGGGUGAUGCCAGGAUGAAUGCGCCUCAAAGAGGAAAUCCGGGUGUACCAGAGGAGACAGUUAAGAGAGAGCAGGACCAUCCUCAAAAAUUGAGUGUUUCCGCUUGUCACCUACAGGCCAUGGAUCAUUCAAAACGUGCGUGGCCCUCUUAAUCAGUGGCAAAAGCUCUGCUGAUAGUGACAACUGCGCUACUUGUGUUGCGCUAUCCAAGUCACCUUCCUCAGAGGGGAACUCCCGAUCGACUGCCUCAUCAGAUGCAGUGAUAGACAGCAGAUGCUCUUGCUGCCAUUCUGCGUGUACUAGUCCUUGUGACUGUAAUGGCACAAAAGGAGCAGGUGUAACAGUGCGUUCGUGCAACAGCUCAGCUAACAUGUUUCCCUGUUGGGAGACCGCCUCCCAGAGCUUAUCCAGCUGCUCAGAGCUGUCUGAUCUAUGAGACCUAUGGCUCUUUUUUCUCCUCUUCUUAGGCGAGGCAGCCAGAGGAGGGGAGGGGGAAGGAGAAGAUGAGGACCGUGAAUGCACAGUAUACACAGUACGGUGCAAACGGUCGGUGAAAGGAAAAAUGAUGGAGUUUUGAGUGUAAACAGUCUCUUUUAUGCUCUUGGGGGCGGGGUGCGAC